CUAUCUAGAGGAAGUAAAAGUCGUAACAAGGUUUCCGUAGGUGAACCUGCGGAAGGAUCAUUACCGAGAGAGAGCCCGCCGUGCUCUCGGACGCAGCGGGGCGGUCCCGUCGUCAGGCCGCGUCCGGCGGAGUUUCCCUCCCGGGGGGGCCCGCCGGGCGGUUUUCCGCGACGGCCGCGGGAGAGUCGCGGUGGCGUGUGUGUGCGUGUGUGUGCCCGCGACCCUCGCGGCCGGUUCCUUGACGAGCGGGGGUCGGGGGGUGGUCGUUGCGGUGCGUCGAGGAGGAGGGGGAGGGUCUCCUUCCCCUGCCGCCUCGCGUGUUUCUGCUUCCCCCUGCCCCGCCCGACUGCGGCUCGUCCGUUGCGCCGCCUCCCGCGUUGGGGGGUUGGCUUCGGCCACGUGAGGGCGCGGGAGCCGCCCGGAGGGAAACCAGGCUCUAACGCGAGCGAGGGAGAGCCGUGGCUUGGGAGGGGCUCGGCGAGCGGCAGCCGGCCCCCCUGCAACCCUGCCUUAGCCCCCCUCCGGAAGAGACUCCAGCGGGGCGUCGGUUUCGGCCCAGUGUUGCGCGCGCCCCUGGGUCUCGGGUGCCGAGGGCGGCGCCGCCGGGUCGUGUGCCUCGUGCUGCGGCCCCGGGGCGGUGUCGUUCCCCGGUCCCGGGCUCGAGGCGCUCGGCCCCGCCGGUACCCCGGCGGCGUCCCGGACGCCGUCGGCGGCCCGUGCGCAUGCCGCUGCAUGUGCGGGCUUCGGGGGGAGGUGGCGAAAAGGGGAAGAGACCCGGCGUCGUCGCCGGGCCCCACCCUCUCCGUGUGGGCGGUUGGGGCCCCAAGGCGGCGGUGCCUCUCCUCCCCUUUGCCCCCUUCCUCCGCUCCGCCUCAGCCCGCGGUCGGGUGUCUUUUAGGUUCUCCGGGUCCGUGCUCGCCGACGCGGCCGAACCGCCUCGUCCCCACCGGUGGGGCGGGGUCGGCGGUGCCGAGGCCCCUGCCCCGGCGGCUCGAGAGGGGUCCCCUCGACGUGUGGGCCAGCGAGGGCCCCGGCGGUCAGGCGCCGGGGUCGGUCCCGCUCGCUCGAGUGAGCGUCUUCCCUCCGAGAUGGGGAAUUGGGGUUGGCGUGACCGGCCGGGUGUGCCUUGGUCGCUCGUCCCGACCGCCCCGAGAGGCCUUUCCGCCCCCAUCCUGUCCCGGGUACCUAGCGCGUUCUGGCGCGGAGGUUUAAAGAUUCGGGGGUUGCCCUCCGCUCUCCAGCGGGGUCGGUACUGUUUUCCCCCCUUCCCCGUCCGCCCUCUUCCGACGGUCUCGGGC
rnacentral:lncRNA from 1 species